GACGAACGCUGGCGGCGUGCUUAACACAUGCAAGUCGAACGGAAAGGGCCCGUUGGGGGUACUCAUCAGGCGAAGGGGUGAGUAACACGUGAAUGACCUGCCCUUGUCUUCGGGAUAACUGCACGAAACUGGGGCUAAUCCCGGAUUAGAAUCUUUGCUGCAUAGUGGGGGUUGGAGAGAUUCGGCGGUUUUGGAUGGACUGGCGGCUUAUCAGCUAGUUGGUGGGGUAGUGGCUUACCAAGGCUUUGACGGGAAGCCGGCCUGAGAGGGGGACCGGCGACCUUGGGACUGAGAGACGGCACAGACGGCGACGGUAGGCAGUAGUGGGGAAUCUUGCACAAUGGGCGCACGUCUGAUGCAGCAGCGCUUCGGGUGGGAUGACGGCUUUCGGGGGGCGAAAGGCCUUCAGGAGAGGAGAAGCUUGUGUUGACGGUACCUGCAGAAGAAGCACCGGCUAACUACGUG
rnacentral:rRNA from 1 species